rnacentral:rRNA from 1 species
AUUGAACGCUGGCGGCAUGCCUAACACAUGCAAGUCGAGCGGUAGAGAGGUGCUUGCAUCUCUUGAGAGCGGCGGACGGGUGAGUAAUGCCUAGGAAUCUGCCUAGUGGUGGGGGAUAACGUUCGGAAACGGACGCUAAUACCGCAUACGUCCUACGGGAGAAAGCGGGGGAUCUUCGGACCUCGCGCCAUUAGAUGAGCCUAGGUCGGAUUAGCUAGUUGGUGAGGUAAUGGCUCACCAAGGCGACGAUCCGUAACUGGUCUGAGAGGAUGAUCAGUCACACUGGAACUGAGACACGGUCCAGACUCCUACGGGAGGCAGCAGUGGGGAAUAUUGGACAAUGGGCGAAAGCCUGAUCCAGCCAUGCCGC